rnacentral:rRNA from 1 species
UACGUAGGGUGCAAGCGUUAAUCGGAAUUACUGGGCGUAAAGCGUGCGCAGGCGGUUUUGUAAGUCUGUCGUGAAAGCCCCCGGGCUCAACCUGGGGAAUUGCGAUGGAGACUGCAAGGCUUGAAUCUGGCAGAGGGGGGGUAGAAUUCCACGUGUAGCAGUGAAAUGCGUAGAUAUGUGGAGGAACACCGAUGGCGAAGGCAGCCCCCUGGGCUAAGAUUGACGCUCAUGCACGAAAGCGUGGGGAGCAAACAGG